GACGAACGCUGGCGGCGUGCCUAAUACAUGCAAGUAGGACGCACAGUUUAUACCGUAGCUUGCUACACCAUAGACUGUGAGUUGCGAACGGGUGAGUAACGCGUAGGUAACCUGCCUAUUAGAGGGGGAUAACUAUUGGAAACGAUAGCUAAUACCGCAUAACAGUAUGUAACACAUGUUAGAUGCUUGAAAGAUGCAAUUGCAUCGCUAGUAGAUGGACCUGCGUUGUAUUAGCUAGUAGGUAGGGUAAUGGCCUACCUAGGCGACGAUACAUAGCCGACCUGAGAGGGUGAUCGGCCACACUGGGACUGAGACACGGCCCAGACUCCUACGGGAGGCAGCAGUAGGGAAUCUUCGGCAAUGGGGGGAACCCUGACCGAGCAACGCCGCGUGAGUGAAGAAGGUUUUCGGAUCGUAAAGCUCUGUUGUUAAGGAAGAACGAGUGUGAAAAUGGAAAGUUCAUACUGUGACGGUACUUAACCAGAAAGGGACGGCUAACUACGUGCCAGCAGCCGCGGUAAUACGUAGGUGGCAAGCGUUGUCCGGAUUUAUUGGGCGUAAAGCGAGCGCAGGCGGUUCCUUAAGUCUGAUGUGAAAGCCCCCGGCUCAACCGGGGAGGGUCAUUGGAAACUGGGGAACUUGAGUGCAGAAGAGGAGAGUGGAAUUCCAUGUGUAGCGGUGAAAUGCGUAGAUAUAUGGAGGAACACCAGUGGCGAAGGCGACUCUCUGGUCUGUAACUGACGCUGAGGCUCGAAAGCGUGGGUAGCAAACAGG
rnacentral:rRNA from 1 species